UACGUAGGUGGCGAGCGUUGUCCGGAAUUACUGGGUGUAAAGGGCGUGUAGGCGGGAAUGUAAGUCAGAUGUGAAAUCCCAGGGCUCAACCCUGGAGCUGCAUCUGAAACUAUGUUUCUUGAGUGCCGGAGAGGAUAGCGGAAUUCCUAGUGUAGCGGUGAAAUGCGUAGAUAUUAGGAGGAACACCAGUGGCGAAGGCGGCUAUCUGGACGGUAACUGACGCUGAGGCGCGAAAGCGUGGGGAGCAAACAGG
rnacentral:rRNA from 1 species